CAGUGAGCAGUGGUUUGUAGCUGGAGAGCCAUGGUUUGAAUGUCUUGGUUAGACAGGGUCAUGGUGGGAGUAUUCCCUGCCAAGCCUGGCGAGGGAUUAAGAGAGAUGGGUGUUUGGUUAUUUAACGUCGUAGGGCUAGAAAAAGAGAACUGCUGCCCCUCUUGGGCGGAGCUUAAGUCAUUUGAAAUAUUAAGGUUACUUUCUUGGUGGUUUGCCAUUGUGGAUCUCAGUGGGUUUUGAAAGUGAAAACUCCGGUGAUGAAAAGAUCUCCUUCGUUUCCCACAGACGGCGCCAAUUGAUGAUCUGAGAUCCAAUAGAAUAGAGUUUUACAAGGGUUUUGUAUUACUGAAUCAGGCUUAAACUUUCUGAGGAGGGGACUCCUCUUUUAUACAUUGUCUUGCUUGUUGGUGACGUGUAAAGGUCUCUCCAGGAUUGGGCCACGCGUCUCUGUCAUACAGAUUCGGGUGUACUAGGGUAUCAGCUGCCUGUUACAUGCGUAACGGCCUCUGAUUCUCCUCAUACGUACGUUCGAGCGGAUCUGCCAGGCUGUCUGGUGAGUACUGUGCUGGACUCCGGGCUGGGCUGAGAGUUGGGCUGGACGCUGGGCCUGAGAGGGGUCUGCUGGUCAGGGAUCAGGCUGGACUGAUUGAGGAAGCUUGGUCGAGCCCGGCCCGGAAGCUGGGAUGAGCCAGGCUUGUUGGGGGGUAUCAAGUACGUGGGCCUCUGUGUCAUGGGCCUUAGGCUGGGGUCAAGCCUCUGUUCUGGG
rnacentral:lncRNA from 1 species